rnacentral:rRNA from 1 species
UGUGAGCUCGAUGAGUAGGGCGGGACACGUGGUAUCCUGUCUGAAUAUGGGGGGACCAUCCUCCAAGGCUAAAUACUCCUGACUGACCGAUAGUGAACCAGUACCGUGAGGGAAAGGCGAAAAGAACCCCGGCGAGGGGAGUGAAAAAGAACCUGAAACCGUGUACGUACAAGCAGUGGGAGCACGCUUAGGCGUGUGACUGCGUACCUUUUGUAUAAUGGGUCAGCGACUUAUAUUCUGUAGCAAGGUUAACCGAAUAGGGGAGCCGAAGGGAAACCGAGUCUUAACUGGGCGUUAAGUUGCAGGGUAUAGACCCGAAACCCGGUGAUCUAGCCAUGGGCAGGUUGAAGGUUGGGUAACACUAACUGGAGGACCGAACCGACUAAUGUUGAAAAAUUAGCGGAUGACUUGUGGCUGGGGGUGAAAGGCCAAUCAAACCGGGAGAUAGCUGGUUCUCCCCGAAAGCUAUUUAGGUAGCGCCUCGUGAAUUCAUCUCCGGGGGUAGAGCACUGUUUCGGCAAGGGGGUCAUCCCGACUUACCAACCCGAUGCAAACUGCGAAUACCGGAGAAUGUUAUCACGGGAGACACACGGCGGGUGCUAACGUCCGUCGUGAAGAGGGAAACAACCCAGACCGCCAGCUAAGGUCCCAAAGUCAUGGUUAAGUGGGAAACGAUGUGGGAAGGCCCAGACAGCCAGGAUGUUGGCUUAGAAGCAGCCAUCAUUUAAAGAAAGCGUAAUAGCUCACUGGUCGAGUCGGCCUGCGCGGAAGAUGUAACGGGGCUAAACCAUGCACCGAAGCUGCGGCAGCGACGCUUAUGCGUUGUUGGGUAGGGGAGCGUUCUGUAAGCCUGUGAAGGUGUGCUGUGAGGCAUGCUGGAGGUAUCAGAAGUGCGAAUGCUGACAUAAGUAACGAUAAAGCGGGUGAAAAGCCCGCUCGCCGGAAGACCAAGGGUUCCUGUCCAACGUUAAUCGGGGCAGGGUGAGUCGACCCCUAAGGCGAGGCCGAAAGGCGUAGUCGAUGGGAAACAGGUUAAUAUUCCUGUACUUGGUGUUACUGCGAAGGGGGGACGGAGAAGGCUAUGUUGGCCGGGCGACGGUUGUCCCGGUUUAAGCGUGUAGGCUGGUUUUCCAGGCAAAUCCGGAAAAUCAAGGCUGAGGCGUGAUGACGAGGCACUACGGUGCUGAAGCAACAAAUGCCCUGCUUCCAGGAAAAGCCUCUAAGCAUCAGGUAACAUCAAAUCGUACCCCAAACCGACACAGGUGGUCAGGUAGAGAAUACCAAGGCGCUUGAGAGAACUCGGGUGAAGGAACUAGGCAAAAUGGUGCCGUAACUUCGGGAGAAGGCACGCUGAUAUGUAGGUGAAGUCCCUUGCGGAUGGAGCUGAAAUCAGUCGAAGAUACCAGCUGGCUGCAACUGUUUAUUAAAAACACAGCACUGUGCAAACACGAAAGUGGACGUAUACGGUGUGACGCCUGCCCGGUGCCGGAAGGUUAAUUGAUGGGGUCAGCGCAAGCGAAGCUCUUGAUCGAAGCCCCGGUAAACGGCGGCCGUAACUAUAACGGUCCUAAGGUAGCGAAAUUCCUUGUCGGGUAAGUUCCGACCUGCACGAAUGGCGUAAUGAUGGCCAGGCUGUCUCCACCCGAGACUCAGUGAAAUUGAACUCGCUGUGAAGAUGCAGUGUACCCGCGGCAAGACGGAAAGACCCCGUGAACCUUUACUAUAGCUUGACACUGAACAUUGAGCCUUGAUGUGUAGGAUAGGUGGGAGGCUUGGAAGUGUGGACGCCAGUCUGCAUGGAGCCGACCUUGAAAUACCACCCUUUAAUGUUUGAUGUUCUAACGUUGACCCGUAAUCCGGGUUGCGGACAGUGUCUGGUGGGUAGUUUGACUGGGGCGGUCUCCUCCUAAAGAGUAACGGAGGAGCACGAAGGUUGGCUAAUCCUGGUCGGACAUCAGGAGGUUAGUGCAAUGGCAUAAGCCAGCUUGACUGCGAGCGUGACGGCGCGAGCAGGUGCGAAAGCAGGUCAUAGUGAUCCGGUGGUUCUGAAUGGAAGGGCCAUCGCUCAACGGAUAAAAGGUACUCCGGGGAUAACAGGCUGAUACCGCCCAAGAGUUCAUAUCGACGGCGGUGUUUGGCACCUCGAUGUCGGCUCAUCACAUCCUGGGGCUGAAGUAGGUCCCAAGGGUAUGGCUGUUCGCCAUUUAAAGUGGUACGCGAGCUGGGUUUAGAACGUCGUGAGACAGUUCGGUCCCUAUCUGCCGUGGGCGCUGGAGAACUGAGGGGGGCUGCUCCUAGUACGAGAGGACCGGAGUGGACGCAUCACUGGUGUUCGGGUUGUCAUGCCAAUGGCACUGCCCGGUAGCUAAAUGCGGAAGAGAUAAGUGCUGAAAGCAUCUAAGCACGAAACUUGCCCCGAGAUGAGUUCUCCCUGACUCCUUGA